UGGGGAAUUUUGCGCAAUGGGCGAAGGCCUGACGCAGCAACGCCGCGUGGAGGAUGAAGGUCUUUGGAUUGUAAACUCCUGUCAGCGGGGAAAAAGGGAGGCGACCUCAUACGUCGUCAACUUGAUUGUACCCGCAGAGGAAGCCCCGGCUAACUCUGUGCCAGCAGCCGCGGUAAUACAGAGGGGGCAAGCGUUAUUCGGAAUUAUUGGGCGUAAAGGGCGCGUAGGCGGCUUUGCAAGUGACGGGUGAAAUCCCUCGGCUUAACCGAGGAACUGCCUGUCAAACUGCGAGGCUUGAGACCGGGAGAGGUGAGUGGAAUUCCCAGUGUAGCGGUGAAAUGCGUAGAUAUUGGGAGGAACACCAGUGGCGAAGGCGGCUCACUGGACCGGUACUGACGCUGAUGCGCGAAAGCGUGGGGAGCAAACAG
rnacentral:rRNA from 1 species